AACUACGGCUGGCGGCGUGCCUAACACAUGCAAGUCGUACGAGAAAGCCGGCUUCGGCUGGUGAGUAAAGUGGCGCACGGGUGAGUAACGCGUGGAUAAUCUGCCCUUAAGUGUGGAAUAACGUACCGAAAGGUGCGCUAAUACCGCAUAAUGCCUGGCAACACAAGUUGUCCGGCCAAAGAAGGCCUCUGUUUACAAGCUUUCGCUUCAGGAUGAGUCCGCGUACCAUUAGCUUGUUGGUGGGGUAAUGGCCUACCAAGGCUGCGAUGGUUAGCUGGUCUGAGAGGAUGAUCAGCCACACUGGAACUGAGACACGGUCCAGACUCCUACGGGAGGCAGCAGUGAGGAAUAUUGCGCAAUGGGGGAAACCCUGACGCAGCGACGCCGCGUGGAGGAUGACGGCCUUCGGGUUGUAAACUCCUGUCAGAAGGGACGAAAUCCCGCAAGGGACUGACGGUACCUUCAGAGGAAGCCCCGGCUAACUACGUG
rnacentral:rRNA from 1 species